GUCACAGGUGGCGCGGCACUUCAAUCACGAAGCGCAGCGCCGAAAAACGCAGUACCUAACGAAGACGGUAAUAAG
rfam:Pseudomonas rhizosphaerae strain DSM 16299, complete genome.